rnacentral:lncRNA from 1 species
UAGGUCAACCACCACGGUUAAUAGGAGAUUAACCAUGGCGGUUGUGUUAUAGUGACCGCCUCGGUUGACCUAUUAACUGAGGUGGUUGCUGGGCCGGCAGCCCAACCUAGAUUAACCGAGGCAAGCCACCAGCCUGCCCGCCUCCAAGGGUAAAAAAUAAAGGUCAUGGUAAAGUUUGUGUAGUAGUGGAGGCGUGUACAAGAUUUAUGAAGAAAUUGGUAGUUUUUGUGAAGAAAAGGAGGUAACAAGAAAUUGCACAUCAUAGAAGUGAUGGCUAUUAGAGUUAGGAAGAAACUAUUAGCUUUGAUCAAUCAAUCCAACAUUCUUAUAGUCCACCCAUUUCUGCCAACAAGAAACCGCAUUGAAUGCCUGCCUCCUACAUUCCUAGUUUUUUGCUUUCUCUCCCUCCUCCCAUUCAUGGAGCUCUAUAAUGUAAAUGUGAUAAAACCAUCCUAAAACCAAUGAGAGCCUAGCCACCUCGGGUAAUCAAUCCAAAUCAUGUAGAAGUUAUGACAACCCAACUCGAUCUGAGUGCAGCCAAACAAGCUGAUUGUGCUGUAUGAAUAUGGAUGAAUAGAGACAAAGAAAACAUGUUGAUCAAGUCGCCAUGGUCUUGAAACUGAUAUGAGCAGGUGAGCAUACUAAAAGAACAGAAAAUGUUAUUUACCCAAUGGGUUGAAGCUGAUGUCUCAGUGGCCUAAUCCGUUACUUUUUUAUAUCAGUCUUCAACAUCGAAUCUGUUAUUUACCCAAUGUGUUGAAGCUGAUGUCUCAGUGGCCUAGUCCUCCGUUACUUUUUUUAUAUCAGUGCUCAUAUAUAUGUCAAAUUUCCUGGCUACAACAAUUGCUGCAUGCAUGAGCAUAUGCCACUGAUUUAUCCAUGCAAUUAGUUGAAGAAAAUAAAUAUAAGUGAUGUAUUUUUGCCUGUUGAAAUUACUCGUGAUAACCAUAUAACAAGGACACAACACUACCGGAAUCUGGCUCUUUGCUCAAUGAUAAAUGGUUUGCCCAGUAUUUUUUUGGGCACUCAACAAAGAAGCUCUUUGCUGGCUGCUAAAAAAACACUCGGCCAAAAAAAACACUGGGCAAAGAGGCUUCUUUGCCAAGUAUAAAAAAACAAUCGGCAAG